rnacentral:rRNA from 1 species
UACGAAGGGGGCUAGCGUUGUUCGGAAUUACUGGGCGUAAAGCGCACGUAGGCGGCGCCGUAAGUCAGGGGUGAAAUCCCGGAGCUCAACUCCGGAACUGCCCUUGAAACUGCAGUGCUAGAAUCUUGGAGAGGCGAGUGGAAUUCCGAGUGUAGAGGUGAAAUUCGUAGAUAUUCGGAAGAACACCAGUGGCGAAGGCGACUCGCUGGACAAGUAUUGACGCUGAGGUGCGAAAGCGUGGGGAGCAAACAGG